rnacentral:rRNA from 1 species
UACAGAGGGUGCAAGCGUUAAUCGGAAUUACUGGGCGUAAAGCGUGCGUAGACGGUUACAUAAGUCGGGUGUGAAAGCCCCGGGCUCAACCUGGGAAUUGCAUUCGAGACUGCGUAGCUAGGGUGCGGAAGAGGGAAGCGGAAUUUCCGGUGUGGCGGUGAAAUGCGUAGAUAUCGGAAGGAACACCAGUGGCGAAAGCGGCUUCCUGGUCCAGCACCGACGUUCAGGCACGAAAGCGUGGGGAGCAAACAGG